AUCAUUAAUGAGUUGUGAUGGGGUUUGAUGCUAACAGCCAAUUUUUGGAUGCAUGUGCUUGCCCUAACAAUCAUCUUCCAAACACCUGUGCACAUUUUUGAGGGAGUUUCGAGUUUUAUUGCCGUUUUUGGUGAUUUUCUUGUAUUCCCUUGAAUUAUUAUACGCUGUUAACAAUGAUGAACGUGCUCUGUGCCGCAAGGCCAUUAAUAUAAUACAACUUUUAACAACGGAUCUCUUGGCUCUCGCAUCGAUGAAGAACGCAGCGAAAUGCGAUAAGUAAUGUGAAUUGCAGAAUUCAGUGAAUCAUCGAAUCUUUGAACGCACCUUGCGCUCCCUGGUAUUCCGGGGAGCACGCCUGUUCGAGUGUCGCGAAAUUUCUCAAGCUUGGAUGGCCUUUUUGUCUGUCCUUAGCCUUGGUUGUUGGGCUUUGCCGUGUCCUUUGUUGGGACGGCUGGCCUUAAAAGCAUUAGCUGAUCCUCGUGUGGCACUGGUUCUACUCAGCGUGAUAACAGUCUGAUCGCUGAGGACAUCUUUUGGGAUGGCCAGUUCUCAUUUGGGUUGCUUCCAAACUUGGUUUUGCAGAUUCUUCAAUCUGUGUUCCACUUUUCAGCUUUGACCUCGAAUCAGGUGGGACUACCCGCUGAACUUAAGCAUU
rnacentral:rRNA from 1 species